GGGAAAGUUGUGUCUCUCCCUCUCCCCAUCCCUCCCUCUUUCCCCUUCUCUUCGUCUGUCAUGUGCGUGGGAUGCUCAUGCUUUGCACAGAGCAGCUGUAGCACGCCGAAUACAGGCUAGAGUGUUAGCGGCAAUUUUAAAGUCCCCCCCUCCCCUCCCUUCCGCCCCCCCACCCACCAAAUAAUACGGCUGGGAUAUUUGAAGGGAACAUACACCAUAUCACGGUACACUCGGACCCCGUUGUUCUUCACCAGGUUGGGACGGCUUCUGGUCUGAUUGUGACUCGCCAUUAGGAAUGCUGGAGAAAGGGAGCUGAGAGAGGAACUGCUUGCAGCAGGAAGUAGAGGUCAACACAAGAUUUCGGGGGUUUUGCUCUCUAAUGGACCCGCACGAGGUUCGAUAGACCAGAAGUCCAUCAUGAUCCACAAACAUCUGGAAUAAUGACCGGAGUCUACGACUAAGGACGUGGAAUACAUUCUGCUGAUCUCAGAGGUAAAUAAGUUAUCCUGAUUAAGAAGAACGGAGCCAAACUUUCAGCAAGCCAGAGCCUUACAACAGCCUGAAAAUAGUACUUACUGUGCCUUUGUUCUGAUGGGUAUCAUAUUUUCUUUUCUUUUUUUUAAUGGAAAAACACUUCUUAAAAUAGGAUGAAAAUAUUCUACACAUUAAAACAUGUAUUUAUUUCAUGUCAGUGAUUGAAUUUAACAAGUAUAUUUUCUGACAGCUAAAUAAAGACUUUUUUCCCCCA
ensembl:lncRNA